AGAGUUUGAUCCUGGCUCAGGACGAACGCUGGCGGCGUGCUUAACACAUGCAAGUCGAGCGAUGAAGCUUCCUUCGGGAAGUGGAUUAGCGGCGGACGGGUGAGUAACACGUGGGUAACCUGCCUCAAAGUGGGGGAUAGCCUUCCGAAAGGAAGAUUAAUACCGCAUAAUAUAAGAGAAUCGCAUGAUUUUCUCAUCAAAGAUUUAUUGCUUUGAGAUGGACCCGCGGCGCAUUAGCUAGUUGGUAAGGUAACGGCUUACCAAGGCAACGAUGCGUAGCCGACCUGAGAGGGUGAUCGGCCACAUUGGAACUGAGACACGGUCCAGACUCCUACGGGAGGCAGCAGUGGGGAAUAUUGCGCAAUGGGGGAAACCCUGACGCAGCAACGCCGCGUGGGUGAUGAAGGUCUUCGGAUUGUAAAGCCCUGUUUUCUAGGACGAUAAUGACGGUACUAGAGGAGGAAGCCACGGCUAACUACGUGCCAGCAGCCGCGGUAAUACGUAGGUGGCGAGCGUUGUCCGGAUUUACUGGGCGUAAAGGGUGCGUAGGCGGAUGUUUAAGUGGGAUGUGAAAUCCCCGGGCUUAACCUGGGGGCUGCAUUCCAAACUGGAUAUCUAGAGUGCAGGAGAGGAAAGCGGAAUUCCUAGUGUAGCGGUGAAAUGCGUAGAGAUUAGGAAGAACACCAGUGGCGAAGGCGGCUUUCUGGACUGUAACUGACGCUGAGGCACGAAAGCGUGGGUAGCAAACAGGAUUAGAUACCCUGGUAGUCCACGCCGUAAACGAUGGAUACUAGGUGUAGGGGGUAUCAACUCCCCCUGUGCCGCAGUUAACACAAUAAGUAUCCCGCCUGGGGAGUACGGUCGCAAGAUUAAAACUCAAAGGAAUUGACGGGGGCCCGCACAAGCAGCGGAGCAUGUGGUUUAAUUCGAAGCAACGCGAAGAACCUUACCUGGACUUGACAUCCCUUGCAUAGCCUAGAGAUAGGUGAAGCCCUUCGGGGCAAGGAGACAGGUGGUGCAUGGUUGUCGUCAGCUCGUGUCGUGAGAUGUUAGGUUAAGUCCUGCAACGAGCGCAACCCUUGUUAUUAGUUGCUACCAUUAAGUUGAGCACUCUAAUGAGACUGCCUGGGUAACCAGGAGGAAGGUGGGGAUGACGUCAAAUCAUCAUGCCCCUUAUGUCCAGGGCUACACACGUGCUACAAUGGUAGGUACAAUAAGACGCAAGACCGUGAGGUGGAGCAAAACUUAUAAAACCUAUCUCAGUUCGGAUUGUAGGCUGCAACUCGCCUACAUGAAGCUGGAGUUGCUAGUAAUCGCGAAUCAGAAUGUCGCGGUGAAUACGUUCCCGGGCCUUGUACACACCGCCCGUCACACCAUGAGAGCUGGUAACACCCGAAGUCCGUGAGGUAACCGUAAGGAACCAGCGGCCGAAGGUGGGAUUAGUGAUUGGGGUGAAGUCGUAACAAGGUAGCCGUAGGAGAACCUGCGGCUGGAUCACCUCC
rnacentral:rRNA from 1 species